AAUGCGACUUGUUGCAGUUGUAUUGACAUGCCUUAUCGCUUGUACUUUGGGUUUGAACCACAGUUUUACCGUUGAUUACACCAAUGCUACAUUUCUUCAAGAUGGCAAGCCCUUUCGCUAUAUCUCAGGGAGUCUGCACUACUCUCGAGUACAUCCAUAUUACUGGAAAGACAGAUUGACAAAGAUGAGGGUAUCGGGACUAAAUACUGUACAGACUUAUGUCCCCUGGAACAUUCACGAGGCAACCCCUAGGAGA